UACAGAGGGUGCGAGCGUUAAUCGGAAUUACUGGGCGUAAAGCGUGCGUAGACGGUAGCGUAAGUCAGAUGUGAAAUCCCCGGGCUUAACCUGGGAACUGCAUUGGUGACUGGCAGGCUUUGAGUGUGGCAGAGGGAGGUAGAAUUCCACGUGUAGCAGUGAAAUGCGUAGAGAUGUGGAGGAAUACCGAUGGCGAAGGCAGCCUCCUGGGCCAACACUGACGCUCAUGCACGAAAGCGUGGGGAGCAAACAGG
rnacentral:rRNA from 1 species